CAGUCAAAGGGACGGUAAUGCGUGGUCGAAGAACAGUCAAAGGGACGGUAAUGGGUGGUCUAAGAACAGUCAAAGGGACGGUAAUGGGUGGUCUAAGAACAGUCAAAGGGACAGUAAUGGGUGGUCGAAGAACAGUCAAAGGGACGGUAAUGGGUGGUCGAAGAACAGUCAAAGGGACGGUAAUGGGUGGUCGAAGAACAGUCAAAGGGACGGUAAUGGGUGGUCGAAGAACAGUCAAAGGGACGGUAAUGGGUGGUCGAAGAACAGUCAAAGGGACGGUAAUGGGUGGUCUAAGAACAGUCAAAGGGAAGGUAAUGGGUGGUCGAAGAACAGUCAAAGGGAAGGUAAUGGGUGGUCGAAGAACAGUCAAAGGGAAGGUAAUGGGUGGUCGAAGAACAGUCAAAGGGACGGUAAUGGGUGGUCUAAGUAUUUUACCUCGAUACUGUAGUUUGUGUAUUGACAUUGUCCUUGUCUAUUAAUGUUCUGUAUUAUGUCAU